rnacentral:misc_RNA from 1 species
UUGUAAACACCUAAUAACAUAAAAGCAAGCAUUAACAAGCUAAUUAAACAAGAAACAAACUUAAAAGACUAAAUAUGCAAUGAUAAAAAUAUGACAUUUUAAGCAACUAUUAAUCUGUAUAUGUACCAUGUGUUCAGUGUGGACUACAUUCUGCAUGCUCAGUAUGUUUAAUUCCCUGGAACUUGGACUUUUCUGUAGUUAUUCAAGGUUCUGGCGGAA